rnacentral:rRNA from 1 species
CCCACGGGGGGCAGCAGUGGGGAAUAUUGGACAAUGGGGGGAACCCUGAUCCAGCCAUGCCGCGUGUGUGAAGAAGGCCCUCGGGUUGUAAAGCACUUUCAGUGAGGAAGAACGCCUGGUGGUUAAUACCCAUCAGGAAAGACAUCACUCACAGAAGAAGCACCGGCUAACUCCGUGCCAGCAGCCGCGGUAAUACGGAGGGUGCGAGCGUUAAUCGGAAUUACUGGGCGUAAAGCGCGCGUAGGUGGCUUGAUAAGCCGGUUGUGAAAGCCCCGGGCUCAACCUGGGAACGGCAUCCGGAACUGUCAAGCUAGAGUGCAGGAGAGGAAGGUAGAAUUCCCGGUGUAGCGGUGAAAUGCGUAGAGAUCGGGAGGAAUACCAGUGGCGAAGGCGGCCUUCUGGACUGACACUGACACUGAGGUGCGAAAGCGUGGGUAGCAAACAGGAUUAGAUACCCCGGUAGUC